CAGAGAGGGACAGAGACGGAGAAGUUUGACGGUCUGGAAAGCAGAGACCAGCAGGGCUGACUGCUUGGGAGCGCCUCUCGGGAGGUCCGAGAAGAGAACCGCGGUCUGUUUCAGCACCGGGGCUCAGGACAGUUCCCAGAGGGCUCCGUUUCGGCUCCAGAACCCUGGACAGCUCCCCCAGUAGAGACGGGGUUUCACCAUGUUGGCCAGGCUGGUCUCAAACUCUUGACCUCUUCAUCCGCCUGCCUCAGCCUCCCAAAGCGCUAGGAUUACAGGCGUGAGUCACUGCGCCUGGCCCAAGUCUGGAAUUUUCAACAGGACAUGGGUGUCACUGUGCCCACGUGACAUUUGGGGAACCCAAGGCCCUGAGAAAGGCAGAAAAAUAACCCACGCAGGGGCUCUCAGCCCACAAAUGAAGCUGUAAGUCAACCCCACCAGUCCAACUCCAAAUCCCAUGUCUCUGACGUGCCUGGGUGGGAGGUGGGCCCUUGGAGAUCAGACCCUGUCUCUCUCCAGGAGAACCGGGAAUGGAAAACAGGGAGGCAGUACAGAGGCAGGAAACUCAGGUGUCACAGCUUGGCUCAGCUUGGAAUGCACUCCCUCCACCUCCACCCAGAGCUCCCCACAACUGACCCUGCUUUCUUCUGCAAGCUCCAUUUCAUCAAGGGAAACGAUCCUUAUUGCCUCACCAUUUCCCACAUGAAGUCUGUAUUGACAUUCUCAUAGACCUGGGAUAUUGUGUCUGCAGCACAUAGUCCAAUUAUUUUCAUGUUAUCUACUGACAGCUCUAUUUGUCUCCCUGUUACACUGUGAGCUCCGUGAGGGCAGAAACAAUGUUUGUAUUUUCACUGCUGUGUCCCCAGUGCCUGGUCCGGGGCCCGGCACACAGCAGGCAUAUAAUAAGCAUGUGUUGAAUCAAUAAAGGCAUCAAAGAAUAAA
rnacentral:lncRNA from 1 species